GACGAACGCUGGCGGCGUGCUUAACACAUGCAAGUCGAACGGAAAGGCCCUGCUUUUGUGGGGUGCUCGAGUGGCGAACGGGUGAGUAACACGUGAGUAACCUGCCCUUGACUUUGGGAUAACUUCAGGAAACUGGGGCUAAUACCGGAUAGGAGCUCCUGCUGCAUGGUGGGGGUUGGAAAGUUUCGGCGGUUGGGGAUGGACUCGCGGCUUAUGAGCUUGUUGGUGGGGUAGUGGCUUACCCAGGCUGUGACGGGUAGCCGGCCUGUGAGGGUGACCGGCCACCUUGGGACUGAGAUACGGCCCAGACGCCUACGGGAGGCAGCAGUGGGGAAUAUUGCACAAUGGGCGCAAGCCUGAUGCAGAAACGCCGCGUUCGGGAUGACGGCCUUCGGGUUGUAAACCGCUUUCGCCUGUGACGAAGCGUGAGUGACGGUAAUGGGUAAAGAAGCACCGGCUAACUACGUG
rnacentral:rRNA from 1 species